CCUACGGGCGGCAGCAGUAGGGAAUUUUCGGCAAUGGGGGGAACCCUGACCGAGCCACGCCGCGUGAACGAAGAAGGUAUUCGUAAUGUAAAGUUCCUUUAACAGGGAAGAAAGAGAAAUUUGAUGGUACCUGAAGAAUAAGCUCCGGCUAACUACGUGCCAGCAGCCCCGGUAAUACGUAGGGAGCGAGCGUUAUCCGGCAUUAUUGGGCGUAAAGGGGGCGUAGAUGGAAUAGGAAGUCUUUUGGAAAAAGGCGGGGCUCAACCCAGUAGGGCAAAAGAUACUGCAAUGCUAGAGUAUGACAGAGGUAAGUGGAACUAGAGGUGUAGCGGUAAAAUGCGUAAAUAUA
rnacentral:rRNA from 1 species